rnacentral:lncRNA from 10 species
GCGGCCGCCCGGAGGACACUGAUGCUUCUGGAGCUCGCGAAGGGUCCCCCGCGGGAGAGGAACAAGGCCGCUUGCGCUCCGCAGAGGCGCAGGCACGGGGCUGGGGCCCGGGGCGGGGGCGCGGGUGGGCGGACCCCUCCCGCAAGCCCAUGAUGGCCAGGCCAAGGCCGCUGGGAAAGGCAGGACGCUCGCCCAUGCGCUGCCAGCUGGGCUUUUCUCCUUCGCCCGCCCUGUGUUCCAGGGCGCGACCCCGUUCGGUCCAGCCGCUGGCUCCGGGGCUGAACCCCAGGUAGAACUGGAAGAUUUUGCUGAAAGAUUGGACAUGGCAUUCAGAGAAACAGAGGUUUUAAUGACAAACUCCAAGUUUUUGGCUGGAGCAACUGGAAGAAUGAGGUUGCCAUGAACCGAAAAGAGAGAUUGCAGAAGUAACCAAAUUUACUCACGUAGGCCAGGAAUUUCUAUGACGUGUUCCAAAUUCAGCCUCUCACUGAACACUUCCAGAGCAAGGCAACAUAAACAUCUGCAAGAAGAACAUUGUGUGAGAAAUAUCAAGUGAGAGUGGAAGAGUCUGCG